UACAGAGGGUGCGAGCGUAAUCGGAAUUACUGGGCGUAAAGCGUGCGUAGACGGUAGCGUAAGUCAGAUGUGAAAGCCCCGGGCUCAACCUGGGAACUGCAUUUGAGACUGCUCUGCUCGGGUGCGGAAGAGGGAAGCGGAAUUUCCGGUGUAGCGGUGAAAUGCGUAGAUAUCGGAAGGAACACCAGUGGCGAAAGCGGCUUCCUGGUCCGACGCCGACGUUCAGGCACGAAAGCGUGGGGAGCAAACAGG
rnacentral:rRNA from 1 species